GACGAGCCGUGCGAACGUUAUUCGGAAUCACUGGGCUUAAAGCGCGUGUAGGCGGGAGGGCACGUCCGUCGCUGAAAUCCCCCGGCUCAACCGGGGAACGGGCGCGGAUACGACCUUCCUGGAGGGGCGUAGGGGGACCUGGAACUUCCGGUGGAGCGGUGAAAUGCGUUGAGAUCGGAAGGAACGCCCGUGGCGAAAGCGAGGUCCUGGACGCCUACUGACGCUGAGACGCGAAAGCCAGGGAGAGCGAACGGG
rnacentral:rRNA from 1 species